GUGCCAGCCGCCGCGGUAAUACAGAGGUGGCAAGCGUUGUUCGGAAUUACUGGGCGUAAAGGGCGCGUAGGCGGUCUUGCAAGUCCCGUGUGAAAUCCCUCGGCUCAACUGAGGAACUGCACGGGAAACUGCUUGGCUUGAGUUCGGGAGAGGGAAGCGGAAUUCCGGGUGUAGCGGUGAAAUGCGUAGAUAUCCGGAGGAACACCGGUGGCGAAGGCGGCUUCCUGGACCGACACUGACGCUGAGGCGCGAAAGCUAGGGGAGCAAACGGGAUUAGAAACCCUCGUAGUCC
rnacentral:rRNA from 1 species